rnacentral:rRNA from 1 species
UACGAAGGGGGCUAGCGUUGCUCGGAAUCACUGGGCGUAAAGGGUGCGUAGGCGGGUCUUUAAGUCAGGGGUGAAAUCCUGGAGCUCAACUCCAGAACUGCCUUUGAUACUGAAGAUCUUGAGUUCGGGAGAGGUGAGUGGAGCUGCGAGUGUAGAGGUGAAAUUCGUAGAUAUUCGCAAGAACACCAGUGGCGAAGGCGGCUCACUGGCUCAUUACUGACGCUCAGGCGCGAUAGCGUGGGGAUCAAGCAGG